GACGAACGCUGGCGGCGUGCUUAACACAUGCAAGUCGAACGGAAAGGCCCUGCUUUUGUGGGGUUCUCUAUUGGCGAACGUGUGAGUAACACGUGUGUAACCUGCCCUUGACUUUGUGAUAACUUCAGGAAACUGGGGCUAAUACCUGAUAGGAUCUCCUGCUGCAUGGUGUGGGUUGGAAAGUUUCGGCGGUUGGGGAUGGACUCGCGGCUUAUCAGCUUGUUUGUGGGGUAGUGGCUUACCAAGGCUUUGACGGGUAGCCGGCCUGAGAGGGUGAACGGAGAAAAGGGGACUGAGAGACGGAGCAGAAGGCAACGGGAGGCAGGAGUGGGGAAUAGUGCAAAAUGGGAGGAAGGAUGAGGAAGAAAAGAGGGGUGCGGGAUGAAGGGCUUGGGGGUGUAAAAAGAUGGAGAAUGAGAAGAAGAGUGAGUGAAGGUAAUGGGUAAAGAAGCAACGGAUAAAUACGUG
rnacentral:rRNA from 1 species